rnacentral:rRNA from 1 species
CCCAGACUCCUACGGGAGGCAGCAGUGGGGAAUAUUGCACAAUGGGGGAAACCCUGAUGCAGCGACGCCGCGUGAGCGAUGAAGUAUUUCGGUAUGUAAAGCUCUCUCAGCAGGGAAGAAAAUGACGGUACCUGACUAAGAAGCCCCGGCUAAAUACGUGCCAGCAGCCGCGGUAAUACGUAUGGUGCAAGCGUUAUCCGGAUUUACUGGGUGUAAAGGGAGCGCAGGCGGUACGGCAAGUCUGAUGUGAAAGCCCGGGGCUCAACCCCGGUACUGCAUUGGAAACUACCGGACUGGAGUGUCGGAGGGGUAAGUGGAAUUCCUAGUGUAGCGGUGAAAUGCGUAGAUAUUAGGAGGAACACCAGUGGCGAAGGCGGCUUACUGGACAGUAACUGACGUUGAGGCUCGAAAGCGUGGGGAGCAAACAGGAUUAGAUACCCCUGUAG